rnacentral:rRNA from 1 species
GACGAACGCUGGCGGCGUGCUUAACACAUGCAAGUCGAACGAGUGGCGAACGGGUGAGUAAUACGUGGGUAACCUGCCCUCUUUUUGGGAUAAGCCUUGGAAACGGGGUCCAAUACCGAAUAAAGGGGGAUGGGCUCGCGGCCUAUCAGCUGGUUGGUGGGGUGAUGGCCUACCAAGGCGGUGCCGGGUAGCCCGCCUGAGAGGGUGACCGGCCACAGUGGGACUGAGAUACGGCCCAGAGUCCUACGGGAGGCAGCAGUGGGGAAUAUUGCACAAUGGGCGAAAGACUGAUGCAGCGACGCCGCGUGGGGGAUGAAGGCUGUCGGGUUGUAAACCUCUUUCGCUAUGGAGGGGUAGGUGGAGAAGAAGCGCCGGCUAACUACGUGCCAGCCGCCGCGGUAAUUC